UGGCGGACGGGUGAGUAACGCGUGGGAACCUGCCCGGCAGUACGGGACAACCGCGGGAAACUGCGGCUGAUACCGUAUACGGCCUGAGGGCGAAAGAAUUUCGCUGUCGGAGGGGCCCGCGUCGGAUUAGGUAGUUGGUGGGGUAACGGCCUACCAAGCCUGCGAUCCGUAGCUGGUCUGAGAGGAUGAUCAGCCACACUGGGACUGAGACACGGCCCAGACUCCUACGGGAGGCAGCAGUGGGGAAUAUUGGACAAUGGGGGCAACCCUGAUCCAGCCAUGCCGCGUGUGUGAAGAAGGCCUUAGGGUUGUAAAGCACUUUAAGUUGUGAGGAAAGGGUGGUUACUAAUAUUAGUCACCUGUGACGUUAGCAACAGAAUAAGCACCGGCUAACUCCGUGCCAGCAGCCGCGGUAAU
rnacentral:rRNA from 1 species